UCGGACUUCAGGCUGUCUGAUGCAGUCGAGCGGAACGAGAAUAGCUUGCUAUUCGGCGUCGAGCGGCGGACGGGUGAGUAAUGCUUGGGAAUAUGCCUAGAGGUGGGGGACAACAGUUGGAAACGACUGCUAAUACCGCAUAAUGUCUACGGACCAAAGGGGGGGACGCUUCGGCACCUUUCGCCUUUAGAUUAGCCCAAGUGAGAUUAGCUAGUUGGUGGGGUAAUGGCCUACCAAGGCGACGAUCUCUAGCUGGUUUGAGAGGAUGAUCAGCCACACUGGGACUGAGACACGGCCCAGACUCCUACGGGAGGCAGCAGUGGGGAAUAUUGCACAAUGGGGGAAACCCUGAUGCAGCCAUGCCGCGUGUGUGAAGAAGGCCUUCGGGUUGUAAAGCACUUUCAGUCGUGAGGAAAGGGUAGUAGUUAAUACCUGCUAUCUGUGACGUUAGCGACAGAAGAAGCACCGGCUAACUCCGUGCCAGCAGCCGCGGUAAUACGGAGGGUGCGAGCGUUAAUCGGAAUUACUGGGCGUAAAGCGUGCGUAGGCGGAUGAUUAAGCGAGAUGUGAAAUCCCGGGGCUUAACCUCGGAACUGCAUUUCGAACUGGUCGUCUAGAGUAUUGUAGAGGGUGGUGGAAUUUCCAGUGUAGCGGUGAAAUGCGUAGAG
rnacentral:rRNA from 1 species